rnacentral:lncRNA from 1 species
CUUGCUUGAGAAUGCUCUAGGCACCUAGCUGUGGAAGGUAGAAUGGAAAUUGUAAUAACAAAAUUCUAACUAUAAUAGAAUACUAAAUAAAAUCUAAUUAGACCAUAAUAAUGUUAAGCAAGCUUAGAUCAAAUUCAAAAAAAUCUCAAAGAAAUUUCAAAGAAACAAUAAGAAAUCUUAAAGAAAUAUUAGAAUGAUCACAAAUAUAUCUCAAAUACAUCUCAAUUCAAUCUUAAUUUAAUCCUAGUUAAAAUUUUAUUGGACUUCAUUCAAACUUUAGGCCGAUAACUAACCAAAUCUUAAAUCCUAAACAAAUCCUAAAUCUUAAAUCAAACCCUAACCAAAUCCUAAAUCCUAAAUUAAAUCCUAACCAACUUUAAACCAAAUCCUAACUAAAUCCUAAAUCCUAAACCAAAUCCUAAUCCUAAAUCAAAUCCUAACCAAUUCUAAACCAAAUCCUAAAUCCUAAACCAAAUCCUAACCAAAUCCUAACCCUAAAUCAAACCCUAAUCAAAUCCUAAUCCUAAAUCAAAUCCUAAUUAAACCUUAAAUCUUAAACCAAAUCCUAAUCCUAAAUCAAAUCUUAACCAAACUCUAACUCUAAAUCAAAUCCUAACCAAAUCCUAACCCUAAAUCAAAUCCUAACUAAAUCCUAAUCCUAAAUCAAAUCCUAAUAAUUCCUACAAAAAAUUUAUACCUCAAUUACUAAUGAAUGAGUUGUUGAUCUUAAUUCAAAAUUUGCAUGAUUUUUAACAAUUAAGUUGAUAAUAAGCUCAAAAAAAUUUGAAAAUGAUCGGAAUUACCAAAUAGACGAUAGCCUCAAAAAUGUGCUUGGAUAUUGAUCGGCCUCCUUCUCUGACC